UCAGUCGACUCCUACGGGGAGGCAGCAGUGGGGGAAUAUUGCACAAUGGGCGCAAGCCUGAUGCAGCCAUGCCGCGUGUAUGAAGAAGGCCUUCGGGUUGUAAAGUACUUUCAGCAGUGAGGAAGGCAGGUACGUUAAUAGCGUGCUUGUUUGACGUUAGCUGCAGAAGAAGCACCGGCUAACUCCGUGCCAGCAGCCGCGGUAAUACGGAGGGUGCGAGCGUUAAUCGGAAUUACUGGGCGUAAAGCGCAUGCAGGUGGUUUGUUAAGUCAGAUGUGAAAGACCCGGGGCUCAACCUCGGAAUUGCAUUUGAAACUGGCAGACUAGAGUACUGUAGAGGGGGGUAGGAAUUUCAGGUGUAGCGGUGAAAUGCGUAGAGAUCUGAAGGAAUACCGGUGGCGAAGGCGGCCCCCUGGACAGAUACUGACACUCAGAUGCGAAGGCGUGGGGAGCAAACAGGAUUAGAUACCCUGGUAG
rnacentral:rRNA from 1 species